rnacentral:rRNA from 1 species
UACGAAGGGUGCAAGCGUUAAUCGGAAUUACUGGGCGUAAAGCGUGCGUAGGCGGCCUUCUAAGUCGAACGUGAAAUCCCCGGGCUCAACCCGGGAACUGCGUCCGAUACUGGAAGGCUUGAAUCCGGGAGAGGGAUGCGGAAUUCCAGGUGUAGCGGUGAAAUGCGUAGAUAUCUGGAGGAACACCGGUGGCGAAGGCGGCAUCCUGGACCGGCAUUGACGCUGAGGCGCGAAAGCCAGGGGAGCAAACGGG